UUCUCAAACUCUAAAUGGUUAUGAUGUUGGUGUUGCUUAAUUGAACACUGACUUUGAUUGUUGUGCUCCAAGUGGGCCAUUUUUGGUAAGCAGAACUGGCGAUGUGGGAUGAACCAAACGCGGAGUUACGGUGCCUAACUAUUCGCUCAUGAGACCCCAUGAAAGGUGUUGGUUGAUAUAGACAGCAGGACGGUGGCCAUGGAAGUCGGAAUCCGCUAAGGAGUGUGUAACAACUCACCUGCCGAAUCAACUAGCCCUAGAAAAUGGAUGGCGCUCGAGCGAAUGACCUAUACUCUGCCGUCGUUGAGACCCGAGCAAUCUCUCGACGAGUAGGAGGUACGUUGUAAUGGCGUUGAAGUUGUUGGGCGUGAGCCCGAAUGGAGCCGUUAUGAGUGCAGAUCUUGGUUGUAGUAGCAAAUAUUCAAGUGAGAUCCUUGAAGACUGAAGUGGAGAAGGGUUCCGCGUGCACAGUGAUUGUACGUGGGUUAGCCGAUCCUAAGGCACAGGCUAAUGCUGGAUUUGAAGUUGUGGCGUUAAAUUCACUUGUGGAUUGCGCUGCAUUCGCCGAAAGGGAAGCGGGUUAAUAUUCCCGCGUCGUGACGAGGAGAUUGGCUUCACUUCGGUGUUGUCGAAGCGCGGUAACGCAAAUGAACUUGCCGACGCUGCUUGGAGUCCGGGCUAGAGAUCUCUUUUCUAGUUUAAGCUUUCAUGACCAUGGAAUCGGUUCAUCCGGAGAUAUGGUUGCUGAGGCUGUAGAGCACUGCGGUUGCUGCGGUGUCCCGUGCACUCCAUGUGGCCCUUGAAAAGGUAAGGGAAGCUUAAUGAAUUUCUCGCACGAUCGUACCAAUAUCCGCAGCAGGUCUCCAAGGUGUGCAGCCUCUAGUUGAUGGAAUAAUGUAGAUAAGGGAAGUCGGCAAAUUAGAUUCGUAACUUCGGGAAAAGAAUUGGCUCUAGAGAUUGGGCUAGUCGGGUUGUUACGUGAUGCUUAUGGGCUGCGUUCGUGACUGGGCGGCGAGCUUCGGUGAGCUGUUCGGGCUAGUAGCGUGGCCCGUAGGUGGAUCGUUUCAGCUUGGUCUGCGUUCG
rnacentral:ncRNA from 1 species